AAUAUUGCACAAUGGGCGAAAGCCUGGUGCAGCAACGCCGCGUGAGUGAUGAAGGCCUUCGGGUCGUAAAGCUCUUUGUUCAGGGAUGAUAAUGAAAGUACACGAAAAACAAGCCACGGCUUACUACGUGUCAGCAGCCGCGGUAAUACGUAGGUGGCGAGCGUUGUCCGGAAUUACUGGGCGUAAAGGAUGCGUAGGUGGAUACUUAAGUGGGAUGUGAAAACCCCGGGGUCAACCCGGGAACUGCAUUCCAAACUGGGUAUGUAGAGUGCAGGAGAGGAAAGCGGAAUUCCUAGUGUAGCGGUGAAAUGCGUAGAUAUUAGGAGGAACACCAGUGGCGAAGGCGGCUUUCUGGACUGUAACUGACACUGAGGCAUGAAAGCGUGGGUAGCAAACAGG
rnacentral:rRNA from 1 species